rnacentral:rRNA from 1 species
ACAGGCAGCGGAGCAUGUGGUUUAAUUCGAAGCAACGCGAAGAACCUUACCAGGUCUUGACAUCCUCUGACAAUCCGAGAGAUCGGAUUUCCCUUCGGGGACAGAGAGACAGGUGGUGCAUGGUUGUCGUCAGCUCGUGUCGUGAGAUGUUGGGUUAAGUCCCGCAACGAGCGCAACCCCUGUGGUUAGUUGCCAUCAUUUAGUUGGGCACUCUAAGCAGACUGCCGUGGAUAACACGGAGGAAGGUGGGGACGACGUCAAAUCAUCAUGCCCCUUAUGACCUGGGCUACACACGUGCUACAAUGGUCUGAACAGAGGGCUGCGAAACCGCGAGGUGAAGCUAAUCCCUUAAAACAGAUCUCAGUUCGGAUUGCAGGCUGCAACUCGCCUGCAUGAAGUUGGAGUUGCUAGUAAUCGCAGAUCAGAAUGCUGCGGUGAAUGCGUUCCCGGGUCUU